rnacentral:rRNA from 1 species
CCUACGGGAGGCUGCAGUGGGGAAUAUUGGACAAUGGGGGCAACCCUGAUCCAGCCAUGCCGCGUGUGUGAAGAAGGCCCUCGGGUUGUAAAGCACUUUCAGUGAGGAAGAACGCCUGGUGGUUAAUACCCAUCAGGAAAGACAUCACUCACAGAAGAAGCACCGGCUAACUCCGUGCCAACAGCCGCGGUAAUACGGAGGGUGCGAGCGUUAAUCGGAAUUACUGGGCGUAAAGCGCGCGUAGGUGGCUUGAUAAGCCGGUUGUGAAAGCCCCGGGCUCAACCUGGGAACGGCAUCCGGAACUGUCAAGCUAGAGUGCAGGAGAGGAAGGUAGAAUUCCCGGUGUAGCGGUGAAAUGCGUAGAGAUCGGGAGGAAUACCAGUGGCGAAGGCGGCCUUCUGGACUGACACUGACACUGAGGUGCGAAAGCGUGGGUAGCAAACAGGAUUAGAUACCCGAGUAGUC